CUUUCCAGUCUGGGUUUUGUUUUGAAUACGAAUAGUUCAAAAUAGAGACUCUGUAGGAAUGCUUGCGCGCAUCAGAGCUGUUUGGGAUCUUCACGCAGUGAAGGUGAGAGCCAUUAAGUUUUGUUAGUAGUCAUGCAAAGAGUCAGGAAGAAGCAGCAGCAAUGCAUUGGUCUGUUUAGAGUUAAAAGGAAGCCGCCAUGACGCACGGCAGAGCAAGAUGUUACUGAUGAAGUUCGAAAGCCGACUGGACUCAGAGCGCUAAGAAGCAUGUUGAGCCAUAUUGAUCUACCACCGGAGAGUCUCAGGCCUGGACUUCUGUUUUUUUACCCUGGACGCAAGCCAGUUAUGUCAAGUUAUGAGGCACAAAUGAAGAUUAAUGAUGCAAAGACAGUGGCUGGCUUGGAUUUAUUCACAACAUCCGAAUAACAAGUCUGGAGUCGCUGACACCGCACUUAAAAGCGUUCCUCAGUAAAUAAAUAUUUACCCGCUGUGCAAUUUUUCUACUAUCAUGUAAACGAUUAAAUUUUGCUUGGGAUAAGCAAAUGGAUUUUAUUU